CCAUUGCGACUACAUGGCUGGCGACUUUUCCUCAUGAAGGUCGGUUCAUAGGCUCUCGGCCUGUCAGGAGUCGACGUGUUCUCUGCAGACACAGGAGUUGCUUCAACUCCCCGCACUACUGUCAACGAAUUGGCGUUGAACUACGACUUUCGAUCUCACCACUGGAAACAUGGGACUUUCAUGUUUACCGACCCAAUUGGCUGAAUCACAAAUUAGCUGCAGACCAGGUGUGCAUACCACCCAAGCAGGACAGUCAAGGAUGGGAUGUCCUUGCAUGAUAAUGACAGUCUAAGAAACCAUGGAGCCAGCCUCUCCCAUCGCUGGCCCGGGCACCCCCCGAUAAGCCCUAUGGGGUACACUCUUUAUAUAUACCACGGCAC
rnacentral:sRNA from 1 species